GACAGAGGGUGCAAACGUUGUUCGGAAUUACUGGGCGUAAAGCGCGUGUAGGCGGCAGCGCAAGUCGGGCGUGAAAUCCCACGGCUCAACCGUGGAAGUGCACUCGAAACUGCGCAGCUAGAGUCCUGGAGAGGAAGGUGGAAUGCUUGGUGUAGAGGUGAAAUUCGUAGAUAUCAAGCGGAACACCGGUGGCGAAGGCGGCCUUCUGGACAGUGACUGACGCUGAGACGCGAAAGCGUGGGGAGCAAACAGG
rnacentral:rRNA from 1 species